GGGCCGACAUAGUGUUGUUUUGUGCGGUAAAGCGAAUGAUUAGCGUAUUUGGGGGCAUUUUGCCUUCAGACGAUUCUCAAACUUUCAAUGCGCAAGGGUGUUGCUGCUUAAUUGAGCUUCACCGGUAAAAACGUCGGCCCUGUGGGCCACUUUUGGUAAGCAGAACUGGCGAUACGGGAUGAACCGUAAGCAUGGUUAAGGCGCCAAACUACUCGCUUAUAGAUCCCACAAAAGGUGUUGAUUCAUCGAGACAGCAGGACGGUGGCCAUGGAAGUCGGAAUCCGCCAAGGAGUGUGUAACAACUCACCUGCCGAAUGAAUUAGCCCUGAAAAUGGAUGGCGCUUAAGCGGGUGGCCGACACCAUGCCGUCUGAAUGAUAAAUUUCAGAUGAGUAGGAGGACGUGGUGAUCGUGACGAAGUAUGCGUGCGAACGCGUAUCGAACGAUCACUAGUGCAGAUCUUGGUGGUAGUAGCAAAUAUUCAAGCGAGAUCCUUGAAGGGCGAAGUGGGGAAGGGUUCCACGCUAACAUUGAUUGGGCGUGGGUGAGUCGUUCCUAAGCCGAGUGGCAAUUGCUAAGUAACGGCGAAAGGGAAGCGGGUUUACAUUCCCGCACACGGAUGUGGAGGCGGUGACGCUUUAUUGGGGCGAACACGCUGGCGAUGGCGCUGGGCAGAGUUGUCUUUUCUGUUUGACCGUUUGCGCAUGCGGUGUGGAGUCCGCUUGUCGGGAGAAACACGCAUGCGCGGGCAGAGCGCCGGGGCUUAUCCGGCGUCCAGCUCGCCAUCGACGGCCCUUGAAACUUUGCCUGCUGGUUUUAGAAUCCACGCCGUGGCGUACCGAUCACCGCAUCAGGUCCCCAAGGUGAACAGCCUCUGCUCAAUAUGAAAAAUGCAGGUAAGGGAAGUCGGCAAAUUAGACCCGUAACUUUGGGAAAAGGGUUGGCUCUAGUGCUGCGUGGGAGUGGUUGUCAAGUUGUGGCUCUCUCGAAGGUACUGAUUUGCGCGAUACUUCGGUGUUGUUCGAUCGGCGCCAUUGAUUGUGCCGCUCUUGACGACGCCCACAGCAUGCAGCAAACUAGAACUGCAACGGGCAAAGGGAAUCCGACUGUUUAAUUAAAACAAAGCAUUGCGAGGGCCGUGGCCGGUGAU
rnacentral:rRNA from 1 species